rfam:Triticum aestivum genome assembly, contig: Triticum_aestivum_CS42_TGACv1_scaffold_513663_6BS
AAGUUACUCCCUCCGUUCGGAAUUACUUGUCUCGGAAAUGGAUGUAUCUAGAAAUGGAUGUAUCUAGAACUAAAAUACGUCUAGAUACAUCAUUUCUGCGACAAGUAAUUCCGAACGGAGGGAUUAGUUA